GCAAGUCGAACGGUAACAGCAACUUCGGUUGGCUGACGAGUGGCGCACGGGUGAGUAACUCGUACAAAAUCUACCUUUUACUGGGGGAAAGUCGCUGGAAACGGAGAAUAAUCCCGCAUAAGACCACACUAUCGCAUGAUAGAGAGGUUAAAGACUUAGGUUGGUAAAAGAUGAUUGUGCGUUCCAUUAGCUAGAUGGUAAGGUAACGGCUUACCAUGGCAACGAUGGGUAGGGGGCGUGAGAGCGUGAUC
rnacentral:rRNA from 1 species